UACAGAGACUGCAAGCGUUAUUCGGAUUUACUGGGCGUAAAGAGCGCGCAGGCGGUCGUAUAAGUCGAAUGUGAAAGCCCCCGGCUCAACUGGGGAGGGUCAUUCGAUACUGUUCGACUCGAAGGCAGGAGAGGGAAGUGGAAUUCCGGGUGUAGUAGUGAAAUGCGUAGAUAUCCGGAGGAACACCAGUGGCGAAGGCGACUUUCUGGCCUGUUCUUGACGCUGAGGCGCGAAAGCUAGGGGAGCAAACGGG
rnacentral:rRNA from 1 species